rnacentral:rRNA from 1 species
GACGAACGCUGGCGGCGUGCUUAACACAUGCAAGUCGAACGGAAAGGCCCUGCUUUUGUGGGGUGCUCGAGUGGCGAACGGGUGAGUAACACGUGAGUAACCUGCCCUUGACUUUGGGAUAACUUCAGGAAACUGGGGCUAAUACCGGAUAGGAGCUCCUGCUGCAUGGUGGGGGUUGGAAAGUUUCGGCGGUUGGGGGUGAACUCGCGUUUUAUCAGCUUGUCGGUGGGGUAGUGGCUUACCAGGGCUUUUACGGGUACCCGGCCUGGGAGGGUGACUGGCGACGUGGGCGGAGGGGAGCGUCCAAAAUACCUACGGAGGCAGCAGUGGGGAAUAUUGCACAAUGGGCGGAAGCCUGAUGCAGCAACGCAGCGUGCGGGAUGACGGCCUUCGGGUUGUAAACCGCUUUCGCCUGUGACGAAGCGUGAGUGACGGUAAUGGGUAAAGAAGCACCGGCUAACUACGUG